rnacentral:lncRNA from 1 species
GGUUUCUCGUGCCUUCUCCCGCCCUCCGUCCCCGGCGCAGCCUGAGUCUGACAAGGACAGCUCUCCCGAUUCACCGCCACAACCAAACACAUUAGGUGUGGCUGCUGGCUCGGCCGUGACCGACGAACACUCUCCGGCAACUGGACCAAAGGGUAGUGAUGUGGAGGCGACCUCUGCUUGUUCCAAGUUCUCGGACCUCGGAUCUACCAAGAAGAUUCUAGACAUGGACGCGGUUGUGGAUGAUGCUAUCCCUGUGAUGACCCAAGAGGAGGAGUUCUCUGACAACCUGAUGCCUGUGGAGGACUGCGUGGCAGCAUUUCAGUGCAUGGUGGAGGAGGAACAGUCAGGCGUGGGGUUGGCCUCGCCUCUGGCGGCUCAGCGACAAAGCUCGAGGGCGCAUGUCACCACCCCGAUGAUGGAGCGGGCAAUGACACUCAAGAUCUCAAAGGACCUGGGAGGUAUCAUCUCUAAACCCAUCAUUCGUUCUAUGUCCUCAUUUAAACUGCUCGCUGCUACCAAAUGAUCACACCUUCUAAAAGUGGCAAAAGAUAGUCAUAUCAGUUUCUGGCCAGAGAUGGUGCCGCCAUUGGAACAGAUUUCGGCCAUUAAGGCCCAACAGUUGGUCCAGGCCGACCUUGCCAACCGCGAGGCUCUUUGCGAGCUGCAGCGAACUCGUGCUGCGGAGGCUAAGGCCAAGGCGUAAUGGGUGGCUGACGGUGCCCAGCCGGCUGGGGAGAUCGGGCUAGAGGGGGCAGAUCCUCCCCAUGCUCGCGGGGUUGCCACGGCCUGGGGCGUGGGCGUGGCCGUGGCUGUGGUAGGGGCCGCGGCCGUCAUGGAGGCAGGAGUGCCUCUGCCACGCGCGAUGAAAGUGCAAUUGAUGGGGCGGGGACCCGUUCCCCUCUGAUCUUAUGAAAGGCAUCAUAUGUAAUUUACGCGGCUUCGGUCAACUUGACAGGAGGCGUCAACUGGCCGAAGCCAUGCG